rnacentral:rRNA from 1 species
GACGAACCGUGCGAGCGUUGUUCGGAAUCACUGGGCUUAAAGGGCGCGUAGGCGGGUCGGCAAGUCCGGGGUGAAAGCCCCCAGCUCAACUGGGGAAGGGCCUUGGAAACUGCCGGUCUCGAGGGAGGUAGGGGCAUGUGGAACUUCGGGUGGAGCGGUGAAAUGCGUUGAUAUCCGAGGGAACGCCGGUGGCGAAAGCGACGUGCUGGACCUCUUCUGACGCUGAGGCGCGAAAGCCAGGGGAG